CAGCGCCACAAGUGGCAAUCACGUUUAUUGGGCCUAAAGCGUCCGUAGCCGGUUUAGCAAAUCUUUUGUAAAAUCGUCAGGCUUAACUUGACGAAUUGCAGAAGACACUACUAAACUAGGGACUGGGAGGAGUCAGGAGUAUUCUGGGGGGACCGGUAAAAUGGUAUAAUCCCCAGAGGACUACCGAUGGCGAAGGCAUCUGACCAGAACAGAUCCGACGGUGAGGGACGAAAGCCAGGGGAGCAAACCGGAUUAGAUACCCGAGUAGUCC
rnacentral:rRNA from 1 species